UUGCACGCUGGCGGCAUGCCUUACACAUGCAGGUCGCACGGCAGCACGGGUGCUUGCCCCUGGUGGCGAGUGGCGAACGGGUGAGUAAUACAUCGGAACAUGUCCUGUAGUGGGGGAUAGCCCGGCGAAAGCCGGAUUAAUACCGCAUACGAUCUACGGAUGAAAGCGGGGGACCUUCGGGCCUCGCGCUAUAGGGUUGGCCGAUGGCUGAUUAGCUAGUUGGUGGGGUAAAGGCCUACCAAGGCGACGAUCAGUAGCUGGUCUGAGAGGACGACCAGCCACACUGGGACUGAGACACGGCCCAGACUCCUACGGGAGGCAGCAGUGGGGAAUUUUGGACAAUGGGCGAAAGCCUGAUCCAGCAAUGCCGCGUGUGUGAAGAAGGCCUUCGGGUUGUAAAGCACUUUUGUCCGGAAAGAAAUCCUUGGCCCUAAUACGGUCGGGGGAUGACGGUACCGGAAGAAUAAGCACCGGCUAACUACGUG
rnacentral:rRNA from 1 species